rnacentral:rRNA from 1 species
AUGAACGCUGGCGGCGUGCCUAAUACAUGCAAGUCGAACGAGUUCUGAUUAUUGAAAGGUGCUUGCAUCUUGAUUUAAUUUUGAACGAGUGGCGGACGGGUGAGUAACACGUGGGUAACCUGCCCUUAAGUGGGGGAUAACAUUUGGAAACAGAUGCUAAUACCGCAUAAAUCCAAGAACCGCAUGGUUCUUGGCUGAAAGAUGGCGUAAGCUAUCGCUUUUGGAUGGACCCGCGGCGUAUUAGCUAGUUGGUGAGGUAACGGCUCACCAAGGCAAUGAUACGUAGCCGAACUGAGAGGUUGAUCGGCCACAUUGGGACUGAGACACGGCCCAAACUCCUACGGGAGGCAGCAGUAGGGAAUCUUCCACAAUGGACGCAAGUCUGAUGGAGCAACGCCGCGUGAGUGAAGAAGGCUUUCGGGUCGUAAAACUCUGUUGUUGGAGAAGAAUGGUCGGCAGAGUAACUGUUGUCGGCGUGACGGUAUCCAACCAGAAAGCCACGGCUAACUACGUGCCAGCAGCCGCGGUAAUACGUAGGUGGCAAGCGUUAUCCGGAUUUAUUGGGCGUAAAGCGAGCGCAGGCGGUUUUUUAAGUCUGAUGUGAAAGCCCUCGGCUUAACCGAGGAAGUGCAUCGGAAACUGGGAAACUUGAGUACAGAAGAGGACAGUGGAACUCCAUGUGUAGCGGUGAAAUGCGUAGAUAUAUGGAAGAACACCAGUGGCGAAGGCGGCUGUCUGGUCUGUAACUGACGCUGAGGCUCGAAAGCAUGGGUAGCGAACAGGAUUAGAUACCCUGGUAGUCCAUGCCGUAAACGAUGAAUGCUAGGUGUUGGAGGGUUUCCGCCCUUCAGUGCCGCAGCUAACGCAUUAAGCAUUCCGCCUGGGGAGUACGACCGCAAGGUUGAAACUCAAAGGAAUUGACGGGGGCCCGCACAAGCGGUGGAGCAUGUGGUUUAAUUCGAAGCAACGCGAAGAACCUUACCAGGUCUUGACAUCUUUUGAUCACCUGAGAGAUCAGGUUUCCCCUUCGGGGGCAAAAUGACAGGUGGUGCAUGGUUGUCGUCAGCUCGUGUCGUGAGAUGUUGGGUUAAGUCCCGCAACGAGCGCAACCCUUAUGACUAGUUGCCAGCAUUUAGUUGGGCACUCUAGUAAGACUGCCGGUGACAAACCGGAGGAAGGUGGGGAUGACGUCAAAUCAUCAUGCCCCUUAUGACCUGGGCUACACAUGUGCUACAAUGGAUGGUACAACGAGUUGCGAGACCGCGAGGUCAAGCUAAUCUCUUAAAGCCAUUCUCAGUUCGGACUGUAGGCUGCAACUCGCCUACACGAAGUCGGAAUCGCUAGUAAUCGCGGAUCAGCACGCCGCGGUGAAUACGUUCCCGGGCCUUGUACACACCGCCCGUCACACCAUGAGAGUUUGUAACACCCGAAGCCGGUGGCGUAACCCUUUUAGGGAGCGAGCCGUCUAAGGUGGGACAAAUGAUUAGGGUG